rnacentral:rRNA from 1 species
AUUGAACGCUGGCGGCAGGCCUAACACAUGCAAGUCGAACGAGUGGCGGACGGGUGAGUAAUGUAUGGGAAACUGCCCGAUGGAGGGGGAUAACUACUGGAAACGGUAGCUAAUACCGCAUACCAUCAGAUGGGCCCAGAUGGGAUUAGCUAGUUGGUGGGGUAACGGCUCACCAAGGCAACGAUCCCUAGCUGGUCGGAGAGGAUGACCAGCCACACUGGAACGGAGACACGGUCCAGACUCCUACGGGAGGCGUCGGUGGGGAAUAUUGCACAAUGGGCGCAAGCCUAAUGCAGCCAUGCCGCGUGUGUGAAGAAGGCCUUCGGGUUGUAAAGCACUUUCAGCGAGGAGGCGUUACUCGCAGAAGAAGCACCGGCUAACUCCGUGCCAGCAGCCGCGGUAAUUC